rnacentral:rRNA from 1 species
UACGUAGGGUGCAAGCGUUGUCCGGAAUUAUUGGGCGUAAAGAGCUCGUAGGCGGUUUGUCGCGUCUGCUGUGAAAACCCGAGGCUCAACCUCGGGCCUGCAGUGGGUACGGGCAGACUAGAGUGCGGUAGGGGAGAUUGGAAUUCCUGGUGUAGCGGUGAGAUGCGCAGAUAUCAGGAGGAACACCGGUGGCGAAGGCGGGUCUCUGGGCCGAUACUGACGCUGAGGAGCGAAAGCAUGGGUAGCGAACAGG